rnacentral:lncRNA from 1 species
CCCUAAUUCGCCUUUCUCCAUGCCAAGUCUGCACCAAUUUUAGCAUGGAGGUAGGCAUUGUGUGCGAGUGCUCUGUGCCUGCCAGAGCACUGACCUCCACAGCACCAACAGUACUGGCACACUGUUAGUCACAGCUCUUUGAAAGCUGCUCUGUGAAGCAGGAAACCUCACCAGUAUUUGAGGCAACAUUACAACCAUAAGUCCCUCACUGUAGUAACAAUUUGCAAGAUAUCUGUUCUAAUGAUGGAAAGAAAAGGAGCCACACUGUCAGUACUCUGCUGAAGGCCUGCCUUGCUUCUCUUCUUUGCUGUGUGAUCAUGGAGACCACAUACAUGAAGAGAACCAGCCCUAUUGCAGGAGGCCACAGGAUCCGAGCCAUGGAGACCAAGAACACUCUACACUGGGUAGAACUCACCAGGGCAAUCUGUGGUUGGGCUGGCAGGUCAAGUAGCUACAAUCCUACCCUCAGGAAAGAGUAGGUGGCAGAAAAUAAAACACCACCGUAAAAGAGAUUGUCUCACACCCUUGCUUUUACACAGCUGCAAUCAAGGUAGGGUUGUGUAGGUUCCUCAGCUUGACUGUGUAUACUAUCAUGUGAAGUCCUGUCAAAACUGAGCUUUAUAGAAAGAAGGACGUGCCCCACAGCCAGCUUUCAGUGAUAGAAGCUUUUGCACCCUUUUGAAUAUUGUAUGAGAAAGAAAUAUGCCAGAGAAAAAUAAAACUGCCUUCAUUUUAGUGAAGCUUUUUUUCUUACGGCUACCACCCACUCAGCUUCAAAGAAAUAAACAUUGCGAAGUGGACACACAGCCUCCAGUGCCCAGACACUGAUGGGGUGCUCUGGGAUGCAUAAAACUUCCUGACAAAGAACAGCAGCACCAGCAAACGUGCAAGGUAAUAGCAAAAAUACACAGAGCUAAGCACUUGU